rnacentral:tRNA from 4 species
GGGGUCAUAGCUCAACUGGCUAGAGCAUCCGCCUUGCAAGCGGAAGGUUAGGGGUACCCUUCGGGAAGCCGCUUCGCGUCUACAACUCCCCUUGAUUCCA